rnacentral:rRNA from 1 species
CCCUUAGAUGUUCUGGGCCGCACGCGCGCUACACUGAUGAACGCAACGAGACCACCUGUACCGAAAGGCAUGGGUAAACUUGUGAAAGUUCAUCGUGAUGGGGAUAGAUUAUUGCAAUUAUUAAUCUUCAACGAGGAAUUCCUAGUAAGCGCGAGUCAUCAGCUCGCGUUGAUUACGUCCCUGCCCUUUGUACACACCGCCCGUCGCUCCUACCGAUUGAAUGGUCCGGUGAAAUCUUCGGAUUGCUGGAUAGGACUUCAUUGGCCUAUCUGCGAGAAGUUGCUUGAACCUUAUCAUUUAGAGGAAGGAGAAGUCGUAACA